CGUCCUUUAUAAAACUUCACUCACGGUACCUCUUUGCAAUCUACACCACUGUGACCUCCAAUCAAUGAAGAAAUAAGGAGUACCAAAAUGGACAUGGAGAGAGAGGGGGCUUUGGGGGGCUACGUAGGAGGCAGCGGAGGCUUGGUAGGGAGGAAGCAGUAUGAAGGAGGGCAGGGGGAUGAUCCGUAAUGUGGCAAAGUGUUAGACCCAGCCCCAAGAGGCAAGUGUGCACCUUUGUUGGAUAGGGAGGCCGGAUAGCAUUUGGAAUUCUUCAAGUCUGCAGGAAUAACAAACUGUAAUGGCCUGAUAACAUAGAAGAUUUCAUCAAAGACAAGCUCAAGUCGGCAUUAGCAUGGGGAAAAUGUGAGGCCCAUCUUAUAACAUUUUGGGAGUCACCUUCCACAAGGAGAUCAGACCCAAUUUGAGCUCCGCACUCCCAGCAGGGCAAGGCCUCAGUCAUCAUCGAGUUAGCCACCCCAACAGACAUUGAGAAAGACCACCUUAGCUGAGACAAACAACCUUGGAGGAAGGCCCCAACACCUGUCAAACGAGCAUUACGGAGGGAACAACCAUUGAAGAUGAGUUUUAUGACUCCAUUGAGUGGGGAAUGCCAAAGGCUAGCUUUUGAUGACAAUCGUUCUUGACCGAUUGAUCACUCUCCAAUUUAGUUACAGUUCCCUAGAAAACGAGGCUGAGAACUCCUUAGUUUGGGCCCGAAAGAUGACCAUGGUAGGUUUUGUGACCUUUAAAGCUCUAGAGAGCUUGUAAAAACGAUAUAUAUAAUGGAAUAAGCACUUCAAUGGGAAUGUGUAUUGAAUGACCAUGGGUUGGGCGGUUUAUAGCCCUGGUCAUGUCUAAAACCCUUGGCCCUAGGCAUGUGGCAUUAAAUGGAGAAGAGUUUGAAGUGAGUCACCCCUUGUUGAGGUUGGAGAAAUGCCUAAGGAUUAUGUCUAUAGACUAGGAGAACUGUGUGGUCUCCUGUGUACGGUAGUAGGCCUGUGAGAAAUAGUGGUCACGCCACUUUUUAAGGAAAAUAA
rnacentral:lncRNA from 1 species